GAAAGUCCCAGCGGGUCCACCUCGCUGACGAAGACAUGACUUUUUCCCGCUCCGUCCACGUGACCCGUCACCGCAAAACCUGCAGAGUCACAGAAGAAGAAGUACAUCACACACAGGUCGACAGAUGUUCAGAGUAAAAACACCGACAGCUGGAAGCUGCUGCUCAUCACGCAACUGAAAACACACACAGCAGAGUGAGCCGGGAGAAUGACCUCGCAGGAAUCAUGUGAAUACAAAUCCAGACUUAAAGCGACGAGGUGGACUGGAAAAUAAGAAAAGCUUGUGAAGAAUCCUGAGCUCUGAUUGGCUGAAAAGAUCACAGGAGAUGAAAUAUGGAGACAAAAGGGUAAAGAGGAACAGCGGGAUACAGAGGAGACACAGGGGGAGGAAGGAGGUUAAAAGGGGAGCAGAAGAAAGAAGGUGGAGGUCAUGCGACAACAGGAGGUGGGGUUUGGUGGGGAGGUCAUGUGGAGAGGAGGUGUGGGAGUCAUCUCCUGCCUCCUGUGAUGGAUUAACUCUCAGGAACAAAGAAAUCCUGGCAGAAUAAAACAGCCUGGAAGCUUUUAAUUCUCAAUCACCUCCUCCUCUUCCUCCUCCUCCUCCCACCUCCUCCUCUUCAGAAGGAGCAGCAGGCAGCCGGUUGCCCUCAAAAAGCUGUGCAGUUAAACAAACUGUCCUCCUUCUCCUCCUCUUCCUCCCACCUCCUCCUCCUUUUCCUCCUCGGCGAGUUUGAUGUGACAAUUUUGAACACAAUAUCAGAAGUAUGUGGACAAGGUGUCACAUCAUCUUCCAGCUUUUCCGGAUUGAGUCGUCUUUUCUCUGAGCGAUAACUUGUUGCAUAUUUGCUUGAUCAGCAAAAGAUCAGUGACUCCUACUUCAGAGUCGCUCACAUCCACCCGAGUGUUUCCUGACGGUGCUUCAAAGGAGCGACGCGACUUCUUUACACGUCAUGAUCUUUAACCAGUGAGCUGCUUUCUACAAAGUCCUCAUAAUGUACUGCUGUAGUCAAACACACACACACACAG